UACGUAGGGGGCAAGCGUUGUCCGGAUUCAUUGGGCGUAAAGAGCGUGUAGGCGGCCAGGUAGGUCGGUUGUGAAAACUGGAGGCUCAACCUUCAGACGUCGACCGAAACCAUCUGGCUAGAGUCCGGGAGAGGAGAGUGGAAUUCCUGGUGUAGCGGUGAAAUGCGCGGAUAUCAGGAAGAACACCCGUGGCGAAAGCGGCUCUCUGGAACGGUACUGACACUGAGACGCGAAAGCGUGGGGAGCGAACAGG
rnacentral:rRNA from 1 species